UACGUAGGGAGCAAGCGUUGUCCGGAAUCAUUGGGCGUAAAGCGCGCGUAGGUGGCCUCAUAAGUCCGCUGUGAAAGUCAAAGGCUCAACCUUUGAAAGCCGGUGGAUACUGUGGGGCUAGAGUACGGAAGAGGCGAGUGGAAUUCCUGGUGUAGCGGUGGAAUGCGCAGAUAUCAGGAGGAACAUCAAUAGCGAAGGCAGCUCGCUGGGACGUUACUGACACUGAGGCGCGAAAGCGUGAGGAGCGAACAGG
rnacentral:rRNA from 1 species